GGGGAUGUCCUGGAUUCGCCAUGGUUAGGAACUUUAUAUGUGCAUGUCUUGGUUACGCAAGUAAAAACGUUGAGGUUUUUAAUAACCGGAAAUCAAAGAUUACAAUUCGCUGCUUAAGAAAAAGCAUGCGCCGACCUUAAAUUUUCUUACGAUUUAAGUAAGGCCAAUUUAGUAAGAUAUAUAAACUAUAGUGCCUUGGAUAGUUUAUGAAUAUAAAAGGCUGGUAUAAACAUUUUUUGUUCAUUUAAAGUGUUUGUAUGAGAUUAAGAAAUGAACUAAACAUGUAGACCAUAUAAACAGAAUAAUCGUGUACAGGGGUUCGAUUCCCCUCAUCUCCACCA
rnacentral:tmRNA from 1 species